UAGAUUGAAGCCAGUUGUUUAGGGUGUUUAGCUGUUAACUAAAAGUUCGUAGGUUUAAAGCCUACCAGUCUAG
rnacentral:tRNA from 1 species